GACGAACGCUGGCGGCGUGCCUAAUACAUGCAAGUAGAACGCUGAAGAGAGGAGCUUGCUCUUCUUGGAUGAGUUGCGAACGGGUGAGUAACGCGUAGGUAACCUGCCUUGUAGCGGGGGAUAACUAUUGGAAACGAUAGCUAAUACCGCAUAACAAUGGAUGACACAUGUCAUUUAUUUGAAAGGGGCAAUUGCUCCACUACAAGAUGGACCUGCGUUGUAUUAGCUAGUAGGUGAGGUAACGGCUCACCUAGGCGACGAUACAUAGCCGACCUGAGAGGGUGAACGGCCACACUGGGACUGAGACACGGCCCAGACUCCUACGGGAGGCAGCAGUAGGGAAUCUUCGGCAAUAGGGGCAACCCUGACCGAGCAACGCCGCGUGAGUGAAGAAGGUUUUCGGAUCGUAAAGCUCUGUUGUAAGUCAAGAACGAGUGUGAGAGUGGAAAGUUCACACUGUGACGGUAGCUUACCAGAAAGGGACGGCUAACUACGUG
rnacentral:rRNA from 1 species